rnacentral:misc_RNA from 1 species
GGCAUUUUUAAUUUGUGGGUAAUGAAGGACUAUGGUGUCAGGGAAUCUUGGACUAACUUUAUUAAAAUACGAGAUACCGAUCUUUUUCUUUCAGCCCGACCAGUAUAUAUGUUUGCGGAUUGUCAAGUGUUACUGCACUUCCAACGUUUUGGAUAUUUUAGUUCUAAUUUCACGACAAGUGGAAGACCAUUUGAUUUAUGCCCUGAAUGUGAUACUACUAAGCGAGGAAUUGUUUAUGCAGAGAGCUUCAUUUCACCUACUUCACUGCUUACUUA